CAGGGAGGGAACAGCGAGCCAAAAAAUUAGUUUCAGUGCAGUAACACUUUCAUUUUCUGAUCCUAAACCCCUAAUUUUUCUGUGAGGCUUGCUCUUAUUGCAAUCACCAACUGCACACACUCAAUGUAAUUUGCUUGUUUCAACUUGAUGAAUGCCACAUGUUCGUGAGGAGGUACACAUUUGUGAGAUUUGACCAGUAGCAUGAUCAAUGGCCCACAAUUACUUAAUUGCAGGCCACCCAUUCUGCUCAGUGUGUCAGUUUCAUUCAUAAACAUGCAACCUAAGAGUUAAGAAAAUAUCUUCUCAUUGCAGUGCUUAAAGCUUUGCUGUCUGAAAUCUGCAGGAGAAAUAAUAUAUUAACAAAUGUAUCAGUGACAGUAGUGUUACAGGACCUAAAAAAAAGUAGGAUAUAUUAAUACACCUGCCGACAACGUGUUAUCAGAGCAGCGCCAUUAGAUGCUAAAAAUGUCUUAGGGAGGCCGUCAUGGGUAUGUGAGUCACAGAGAAGAAUGAGAGAAUAGAAUUCAGUAGCUGAUGUUAAUUUUCCAUCAUUUUUGCCAGUAUUUGCCAGGAAAGUGCAGAGAAAGACAGGAAACAUGGGGAGAGCAACUGAGAGGGGUAUGACAUGCAAGAAAAGUCCAGCCAGAACUAAAUUGUGGAUGCUGCAGUCAUGUGGUUUGUUUCUUAACCAACAGUUUAUUAACCCAGACAAUGACUUGCAGAGGGACGCUGAGGCAGAUGUCAAAAGUGAGGGAAGUGUACAAGCUGCCAUGCUACAGUAUGUCAAUCAAAUCUAAAAGAUAAAAAGUAAAAACUUAGAGGGGACCCAUUAUGCUUUUACUUAUUUUCUGACAUGUACAAUGUUACUGUGCUUUCAAGUUUCCAAACAGGGAUGCACCAAUUGUGAAAUUCUGGGCCCAUAGUGAUGUUUAAAACAACAAUUUGGCCAAUAGCCAACAGCUGAUAUCUGAUACUGCUGUUUUGUUGUCGUUUAUUUUGCAUUGGUUGUUAUUCAUUUCCCCUUUUGUGUCAGGGAAACAAAUCUUAAAUGUAAAAAAAAAUAACUGUUUUAAAGUUAUUCAGGUCUUUGUUACACUACCUUUAAAUUCAAUCAUACACAUUGAUGAGACAACCUUUUAAUACAUCUGUCACAAAAAUAACGUCUUCAGAAACUGCUUCAUAAGCCUUUUUACUACAAAUAAAUAACUCCCUCUCUAAUAUCUAUUUCAUAUUGCUGUGAAAACAAACAAAUUUAUCCUUUACCAACUGUAUAAGUUUCUUGUAAUUUUACAAGAUUACAUUUGAACACAUCAUAAUGUUAUCAUUUACCUUUGCCCAAAACUCAUUUUUACAGAAGAGCUUUAUGUAUCUCGACAGUUAGUUUGCAAACUGCUAAUGUAACGGAGUUAAUAUACAGUAUGUAUGAUCCCACUUGCCAUGGCUCACACUGCUUUAUUUUACUUUCUCUGAAACUGAUUUAUUUUAUGGUCAGUGAACACAACACACCUGCAGACUAGGGUCGUGUACCCCGGAAGAUAGCAACACUUUGGCUGCGCUGUCUGGUAGGUGCACAUGUUAUCAGCUCCGUAAUUAUUUUGUAUUAAUUAUCUUAACUUUAUAUCUAAGGGGUUGUGUAUGUUAUCUUUUGUAAGACUGGAGCUCCCGAUCGGUUGAGCACGUCCUUCCGUAAAAGUUGACAGUGUUUUUAAUUAUUUGUGUGUAACGUGGUUAGCAUAACUCAGGGUUUAGCUAACUUGCACUCCUUUUUUAUUUGAUAUUCCCAGAGUGAGAGCACGUGUAUGAAUGAAGCCAAGACUGACUGUGAAAAUAUUUCCUCUGCCAGAUGCAGGAAUAAACGGCGGGUGCCAACAGUGCUUCAUGACUGAUUUUUCUCGUGAUUAUACACAACGCAAGAGAGAGUACACAACCGCUACACUAACAGCAAAUAGCCAAUGUUAACUAGCUCUCCUCCUGACAGUGUCAACAUGGAUUUGUUGUUCUCAAUGUAGCAUUAUGUGGGAAAACUAUAGGGUGCAUCCAUUUAUGUGUUGAUAGAGAGUUUACAGCGUCCUUCAUCCUCACGGCAUCUCAGGAAAGACCUAUGUUAAUGCCCCCCAAAAAAUCCUUUCUCCCCAGGACAACAGGGCGCUGUUGAGCCCUGCUUUUUAGCCUGCCCAAGUGAUUUAGCACAACGGAGAAACAUCAGCCACUGCCAUCGCUCAAUGUCAUCUUAUUUGCAGACAGGCUGUUUAUAUAUACAUACACACAUAUAUGUGUGUGUAUGUAUAUAUGUAUAUAUAUAUGUAUGUAUGUAUGUAUGUAUGUAUGUAUAUAUAUAAAAAUGGUAGAAAGUGCCGCUUUUCUCCAUUACAGUAAUUCAUCUGGCUGCUGCAAUGACAGUUCAGAGUCUACAAGAUGCAGAAGACUUUGAAACUCUACUAAUCAGAGAUGGGGUUUUUUUAGAGCAAGGCUAAAAAACUCAUCGAUGCAAAAUUUAUUUAUUCUAUUAACUAUAUACAGCGCACUGUGUUUCACACAAGUGAUUGCUGCUGUCACACAACGCCCUUAUGUUAUGGAGAGGUGACUUGAUUGGAUGGUCCGAAAUUGUAAAAUAGAGAAAGAGAGAAACAACAGCUAAGGAUGAAGCAAAGACAAAGGUCAGAGAAAACAACAGUGUCCAAAGUUUGGGAUCAUUUAAAGCUGAAACAAAACGAAAACUGUACAGUGUGUCUGAUGUAAAUCCAAACUAGCUUACAAGAACUUGCACAAUGUUAAUGCUUCAGCAUCUCAGCAGAAAGUAUCCAGUCUAUGUAUGCAUCCAGUCCAAAGAGCAGAUUAAACACAAGGUAAUGUUAAUCAAAACCGAUAAACAGUGAUUGAACAAUGAACAGCAUUGAUGUUGUGAGUCCCUGGGACCCACAUGUGGUCAUUUCAGUAAUUUCCAGGCUGUUUUUGUUGAAAGGGAUCUUAUUGUUCACCAAAAAGACCUGUCUGUGUAAGGAUCCCUUCUAUUAUGUUGUCAGAGUAAUCAACCGAGCCUGUCAGUAGCAAAAUUAUGCACUUUUGGUGGACGUAAAUUAAGAGUGUACAAAUGCUUCAGGUGGUUUAAUUGCAGCAUGUUUCGCCUCUGCAGCUAGACCAGUUUCAAAAAUUAACUUAGACACAAGAACAGGGGAAAAUAGGGUCCAGGUUGAAAGAUACAGAUGGGAUGGGAUGGGAUGAUCGUAAGAAAUCAACCUCUGUCGUUUUUUAAAUUCCAUUUCAAUAAAACAGACAAAUUGAGCAAAAAGAUAACUUACAAUAAUGCAGCCCUCUAUCCGCAUGUUCACCUGUUCAUACAGCCAAACCUGGAUCCGAGAGCG